rnacentral:rRNA from 1 species
UGUCAGCAGCCGCGGUAAUACGGAGGAUGCAAGCGUUAUCCGGAUUUAUUGGGUUUAAAGGGUGCGCAGGCGGUAUUAUAAGUCAGUGGUGAAAUCUUCCCGCUUAACGGGAAAACUGCCAUUGAUACUGUAGUACUAGAGUACAGACGAGGUAGGCGGAAUGUAGCAUGUAGCGGUGAAAUGCUUAGAUAUGCUACAGAACACCGAUCGCGAAGGCAGCUUACCAGGCUGUUACUGACGCUAAUGCACGAAAGCGUGGGGAUCAAACAGGAUUAGAUACCCUGGUAGUCCACGCUGUAAACGAUGAUCACUCGAUGUUGGCGAUAAACUGUCAGCGUCCAAGCGAAAGUGUUAAGUGAUCCACCUGGGGAGUACGAUCGCAAGGUUGAAACUCAAAGAAAUUGACGG